rnacentral:rRNA from 1 species
GACGAACGCUGGCGGCGUGCUUAACACAUGCAAGUCGAACGGAAAGGCCCUUCGGGGUACUCGAGUGGCGAACGGGUGAGUAACACGUGGGUGAUCUGCCCUGCACUUUGGGAUAAGCCUGGGAAACUGGGUCUAAUACCGAAUAUGAUCAUCGGCUUCAUGGUCGGUGGUGGAAAGCUUUUGCGGUGUGGGAUGGUCCCGCGGCCUAUCAGCUUGUUGGUGGGGUAAUGGCCUACCAAGGCGACGACGGGUAGCCGGCCUGAGAGGGUGACCGGCCACACUUGGACUGAGAUACGGCCCAGACUCCUACGGGAGGCAGCAGUGGGGAAUAUUGCACAAUGGGCGCAAGCCUGAUGCAGCGACGCCGCGUGAGGGAUGACGGCCUUCGGGUUGUAAACCUCUUUCAGCACAGACGAAGCGCAAGUGACGGUAUGUGCAGAAGAAGGACCGGCCAACUACGUG